rnacentral:rRNA from 1 species
CCUACGGGCGGCAGCAGUGGGGAAUAUUUCACAAUGGGCGAAAGCCUGAUGCAGCGACGCCGCGUGAGGGAAGAAGGCCUUCGGGAUGUAAAGCGCUUUUAUCAGGGAAGAAAAUGACGGUACCUGAUUAAGAAGGACCGGCUAACUACGUGCCAGCAGCCGCGGUCAUACGUAGGGAGCGAGCGUUAUCCGGAUUUACUGGGUGUAAAGGGUUCGUAGGGGGAAGAGCAAGUUAGAUGGGAAAGCGCGGGGUCAAACUGCUGGACUCCUUUGGAAACAGCGUGGCUCGAGUGCGGGAGAGGUAAGCGGAAUGCCUAGUGUAGCGGUGAAAUGCGUAGAUAUUAGGAAGAACACCAGUGGCGAAGGCAGCUUACUGGAACGGAACUGACGCUGAGGCACGAAAGCGUGGGGAGCAAACAGGAUUAGAUACCCUAGUAGUC